rnacentral:lncRNA from 1 species
GCACAGGCGCGACUGGGCAAAGACCGGGGCCAGGUGCGGGCAGGCCGGGCUCCUGUGCUGAGGUGCCCUGGUAGGAGCCCUCGCCGGGGGGAGCCGCCCGUGGCACAGAACACGUGGAGCGCCGCUCUUCCGGCAGCUCCGCUCGCUUCACCUUGCAGCAGGUGGGGAGCGCGGGGAGAGGCGGCGAGUUCCGAGCGCGGAGAAAGGACUGAGAAAAUUUCCACGUGACUCUCCAGUCCUUCAACCUCAGCAAAAAUAUGAAAGAAUGUCUGAUAUGAACUGCAUCAAGCUAGCAUGGCAUCAGAUGAAAAAUAUCAGGACAGUUGCCAAAUAAAGCAAGAAAUCAAAGAGGAGAAGCUGAUCAUCACUUUGGAAAAAAAUGUUGACGGUUGAAAAGUGUAACCCAUCUAUAAAACAACUUUUCAGAGUCCUUCCAUGGAUUAUUGAAUGAAAGAGGUGUUCUAACAGGAUGUAAUCUUACAUUGUAUUAUGUGUGUACAUUCUAAUAAAU